rnacentral:lncRNA from 1 species
GUAUGUCCUUAUUAUCUAAAAAGUUUCAUGAAAUUCUGUUGUAUGGUUUCAGAGAAGUUGCGAUGAUGAACUGUUGCAGUAGUAUAUUACAGCAAAUUAGUUCAAAGGGGCGUAACUCCUGGAAAAAAAAUUAAAUCGUAAUUUCAUGUCGGUAUGCCCAUCUACGUUGUAUGUCCUUAUUACCUACAAAGUUUAAUGAAAUUCAGUU